GAUGAACGCUGGCGGCGUGCCUAAUACAUGCAAGUCGAGCGAACAGACGAGGAGCUUGCUCCUCUGACGUUAGCGGCGGACGGGUGAGUAACACGUGGAUAACCUACCUAUAAGACUGGGAUAACUUCGGGAAACCGGAGCUAAUACCGGAUAAUAUAUUGAACCGCAUGGUUCAAUAGUGAAAGACGGUUUUGCUGUCACUUAUAGAUGGAUCCGCGCCGCAUUAGCUAGUUGGUAAGGUAACGGCUUACCAAGGCAACGAUGCGUAGCCGACCUGAGAGGGUGGUCGGCCACCCUGGAACUGAGACACGGUCCAGACUACUACGGGAGGCAGCAGUAGGGAAUCUUCCGCAAUGGGCGAAAGCCUGACGGAGCAACGCCGCGUGAGUGAUGAAGGUCUUCGGAUCGUAAAACUCUGUUAUUAGGGAAGAACAAAUGUGUAAGUAACUAUGCACGUCUUGACGGUACCUAAUCAGAAAGCCACGGCUAACUACGUG
rnacentral:rRNA from 1 species